GCGCCCGUAGCUCAGUUGGAUAGAGUACCUGGCUACGAACCAGGUGGUCGGGAGUUCGAAUCUCUCCGGGCGCGCCA
rnacentral:tRNA from 18 species